AUUUUCAGAUGGAAGCAAAUCAGAAAGACUUUGGAUUACAUAGAAUUUGGACUGAACCUUUAAGGAUGGCGGGAUUUGGGAGCCUUAGAAACAAGGAGGGGAGUGGGAGUAUUCAAGACACAAAGAAGCGUGGACUGGAGAAAGCAUGGAAUAAAUACAGAGUCAGUGACACUUCAUUUAAUUGGAGCAAAAGCUAUGCAUGGACGAGAUGGCCUGAAUAGAUUUUCUGCUAUGGAAUGCAUAUGUGUUGAAUGAAUUACAAAAGAAAUAAAGAAGGAAAGAACAAGAAAAUACAAAUACACACUUGCCAAUGUGUGAUUGAGCCCAUAAGUAGUAAGGAAUUUCUUAAAGGAUAAAACUGCAAGCCAACAAACCAUGGACUGAAACCAGAGAGGCCCAUUGAAGAUCUUCCUGUUACCCCCUGCUGUUUCUCCUCUGCAACUACUCCAGGUAUGGAACACCUAUUGACACCUUGUGGAACACAACCAGAUAAUGUGGCAGAAAACUCAAGCCUCAAACAUGCGUUACUGUCCAGAGCUAGUAAGAGUGCCAUGGACCACAGGGAGAAUAGAAACCUUACGUAGUGGGUAAACUAGAUAAAG